rnacentral:rRNA from 1 species
ACCAGACUCCUACGGGAGGCAGCAGUGGGGAAUAUUGCACAAUGGGGGGAACCCUGAUGCAGCGACGCCGCGUGGGUGAAGGAGUACUUCGGUACGUAAAGCCCUAUCAGCAGGAAAGAAAAUGACGGUACCUGACUAAGAAGCCCCGGCUAACUACGUGCCAGCAGCCGCGGUAAUACGUAGGGGGCAAGCGUUAUCCGGAUUUACUGGGUGUAAAGGGAGCGUAGACGGCAGUGCAAGUCUGGUGUGAAAGCCCGGGGCUCAACCCCGGAACUGCUCUGGAAACUGCGUCGCUAGAGUGCCGGAGAGGCAGGCGGAAUCCCUGGUGUAGCGGUGAAAUGCGUAGAUAUCAGGAGGAACACCAGCGGCGAAGGCGGCCUGCUGGACCGUGACUGACGUUGAGGCUCGAGAGCGUGGGGAGCAAACAGGAUUAGAUACCCGAGUA